UACGGGGGGGGGCAAGCGUUGUUCGGAAUUACUGGGCGUAAAGGGCUCGUAGGUGGCCAACUAAGUCGGACGUGAAAUCCCCAGGCUCAACUUGGGAACUGCGUCCGAUACUGGCUGGCUUGAAUUCGGGAGAGGGAUGCAGAAUUCCAGGUGUAGCGGUGAAAUGCGUAGAUAUCUGGAGGAAUACCGGUGGCGAAGGCGGCAUCCUGGACCGAGAUUGACACUGAUGAGCGAAAGCCAGGGGAGCAAACGGG
rnacentral:rRNA from 1 species